UCGCAGCUUACCAUGCAAGUCGAGCGGUAACAGGGGGUGCUUGCACCCCGCUGACGAGCGGCGGACGGGUGAGUAAUGCAUAGGAAUCUGCCCAGUAGUGGGGGAUAGCCCGGGGAAACCCGGAUUAAUACCGCAUACGCCCUUUGGGGGAAAGCAGGGGAUCUUCGGACCUUGCGCUAUUGGAUGAGCCUAUGUCGGAUUAGCUAGUUGGUGGGGUAAAGGCCUACCAAGGCGACGAUCCGUAGCUGGUCUGAGAGGAUGAUCAGCCACAUCGGGACUGAGACACGGCCCGAACUCCUACGGGAGGCAGCAGUGGGGAAUAUUGGACAAUGGGGGCAACCCUGAUCCAGCCAUGCCGCGUGUGUGAAGAAGGCUUUCGGGUUGUAAAGCACUUUCAGUGAGGAGGAAAACCUUCUGGUUAAUACCCAUGAGGCUUGACGUUACUCACAGAAGAAGCACCGGCUAACUCCGUGCCAGCAGCCGCGGUAAUACGGAGGGUGCAAGCGUUAAUCGGAAUUACUGGGCGUAAAGCGCGCGUAGGUGGUUUGAUAAGCGAGAUGUGAAAGCCCCGGGCUUAACCUGGGAACGGCAUUUCGAACUGUCAGGCUAG
rnacentral:rRNA from 1 species